UACGUAGGGGGCGAGCGUUGUCCGGAGUUACUGGGCGUAAAGGGCAUGCAGGCGGUCGGACGCGUUUUGGGUGACAGCGGGUGGCUCAACUACGCGAGCAUACGAAAGACGGUUUGACUUGAGGCAUGCAGGGGAGAACGGAAUUCCUGGUGUAGCGGUGAAAUGCGCAGAUAUCAGGAGGAACACCGGUGGCGAAGGCGGUUCGCUGGGCAUGUUCUGACGCUGAGGAGCGAAAGUGUGGGGAGCGAACAGG
rnacentral:rRNA from 1 species